rnacentral:pre_miRNA from 1 species
GGGGGGAGGCCUGAUCCUGGCCUGUGUCCCAGGCGCUCUGUGCUCCCGGGCUGUGUCCCAGGCGCUCUGUGCUCCCGCUGUGGAUUCAAGCUCCCGGCUGGGCAGCCCCCU